rnacentral:lncRNA from 1 species
AAAGAAGCUUUCCUAAUUCAUUAGAACAUCAGUUCUCCCCAGAUAAUGUUCAUCAUGGAAGUACUUUUCCCCUUUGGAGAUCACUGGAAACAGCUUCUGGACCACAAAUGGGGUGAACUACUGUAUCGAGAAAGGAGAGAGUAAGACUUGAGAGCUAUCUUUUUAGCUCAGGGUGCAGGGGACUGGACUAAGAACUCAGUUAAGUGAAGCAAGCAAGAAUUUCCCAAGUGAUGCCAACUCAAAAUGAAUUAUAUCAAGAAAGGAAAAGCAGCUUUUUCAUCUGGAAAGAACUGGAGACCUUGAACCUAGGCAGCAUGUGCCUUGAACCUAGGAUCAGUAAACAACAAGGAUGGAAAAGACAGUAAGAAUUUGGUCAGAUCACCAUAUCUUUCCGUUGUGCCUUUAGAACAAAAGGAAAGAAAAUAUCUCUUUGGCUCACAGAGAAAAUAUGUUGAGAAAUGAAGUACAACCCCUCACCGUGCUGGGCACAGAGCAGGUGCUCGGUAAAUAAAUAGUGUACGUGUUCGCUGAGUAA